GGACAGUCGAUAAGGAUCAGAAGUGGGUCUAGUCUGGACAGUUGAUAAGGACCAGUAGUGGGUCUACUCUGGACAGUUGAUAAGGACCAGUAGUGGGUCUACUCUGGACAGUUGAUAAGGACCAGUAGUGGGUCUACUCUGGACAGUUGAUAAGGAUCAGUAGAGGGUCUACUCUGGACAGUUUAUAAGGAUCAGUAGUGGAUCUACUCUGGACAGUUUAUAAGGAUCAGUUGUGGGUCUACCUUGGACAGUUGAUAAGGAUCAGUAGGGGGUCUACUCUCCACAGUUGAUUAGGAUCAGUAGUGGGUCUACUCUGGACAGUUGAUAAGGAUCAGAAGUGGGUCUACUCUGGACAGUUGAUAAGGAUCUGUUGUGGGUCUACUCUGGACAGUUGAUAAGGAUCAGUAGUGGGUCUACUCUCUCCAGUUAAUAAGGAUCAGUAGUGGUCUACUCUGGACAGUUGAUAAGGAUCAGUAGAGGGUCUACUCUGGACAGUUUAUAAGGAUCAGUACUGGAUCUACUCUGGACAGUUUAUAAGGAUCAGUAGUGGGUCUAGUCUGGACAGUUGAUAAGGAUCAGUAGUGUGUCUAGUCUGGCCAGUUUAUAAGGAUCAGUAGUGGGUCUUGUCUGGACAGUUGAAAAGGAUCAGUAGUGGGUCUACUCUGGACAGUUGAUAAGGAUCAGUAGUGGGUCUAUUCUGGACAGCUGAUAAGGAUCAGUAGUGGGUCUACUCUCCACAGUUGAUAAGGAUCAGUAGUGGGUCUACUCUGGACAGUUGAUAAGGAUCAGUAGUGGGUCUACUCUCUACAGUUUAUAAGGAUCAGUAGUGGGUCUACUCUGGACAGUUGAUAAGGAUCAGUAGUGGGUCUACUCUGGACAGUUUAUAAGGAUCAGUAGUGGAUCUACUCUGGACAGUUUAUAAGGAUCAGUUGUGGGUCUACUCUGGACAGUUGAUAAGGAUCAGUUGUGGGUCUACUCUCCACAGUUGAUUUGGAUCAGUAGUGGGUCUACUCUGGACAGUUGAUAAGGAUCAGUAGUGGGUCUACUCUGGACAGUUGAUAAGGAUCAGUAGUGGGUCUACUCUGGACAGUUGAUAAGGAUCAGUAGUGGGUCUACUCUGGACAGUUGAUAAGGAUCAUUAGUGGGUCUACUCUGGAAAGUUGAUAAGGAUCAGUAGUGGGUCUACUCUGGACAGUUUAUAGAAAGGCAUAGUACAUGACCGCCUGGAUGGAUUUUUACGUGUGAUGUUGAUAUGCUGUAGGUGGCGGAUCGUCAUUCUCCCAUAGGUCCAUAGGUCUAUGCUCCCAGCAGGUCCGUUAUUCAGAUCCGUUAUUCAGGCACGCUUAUCACACGUUCUGCCUCCUCUCCGAUCCAAGUGGCUUUUCCUCGACCUAGAACCUAACACUUCAAAAUAUAGCUUCAAUAUUUUUCAUUUCACUUUUAAAAUGUAUGAGCCUUUUUAUGUGUGGCAAUAAACACAACGAGUCACAAUGUUUUCAUAUGAUGAAGGCUACUUCUAAAGUCUCGUUCCAUGGUGGACAGGCAGGGAGAGUCUCGUUCCAUGGUGGACAGGCAGGGAGAGUCUCGUUCCAUGGUGGACAGGCAGGGAGAGUCUCGUUCCAUGGUGGACAGGCAGGGAGAGUCUCGUUCCAUGGUGGACAGGCAGGGAGAGUCUCGUUCCAUGGUGGACAGACAGGGAGAGUCUCGUUCCAUGGUGGACAGGCAGGGAGAGUCUCGUUCCAUGGUGGACAGCAAACCCUCAACCUUCUGGCCUGUUGGCCCUGCGUGACAUCAACUGUGUCACAAAAGAAUGCUGAAGUUGCAAAGUCGAUAUGUCCACGUUUAUAAACGCAGGCUUGCUACAGUUAUCGUAUAUUUAUGGUGGUAACCAUCAUUUUUGUACAUUGUUUGGUAUGUUUCAUGUUGUUUUCUCUUCAUGUAUUUAUUAGGGUGUUUGGUAGAGCAGCAAGUCAACUGGACUUCCUUAGUGGUUACCUGGGUUGUUUCCAGACACGUUGUCAUGGUGAUACCGGUGUAAAUAGCUGACUGGACAUUGAUCUGAUUUAAUGAGUACGAGAGUGUAUUCACUAGGAAAUAAACGGAAGCAAAACAGGACACUUGGAUCUACCUGAAAUGUGUCAAAUAGAAAUGAGUUUGCACAAAUGAAUACAUCCCAUGCCACAUGAUUCAGGUUUCUAUCUGUAACACUGGUUACACCACUGUAAAACGUUUGCACAAAUGAAUACAUCCCAUGCCACAUGAUUCAGGUUUCUAUCUGUAACACUGGUUACACAACUGUAAAACGUUUGCACAAAUGAAUACAUCCCAUGCCACAUGAUUCAGGUUGUAUCUGUAACACUGGUUACACCACUGUAAAACGUUUGCACUAAUGAAUACAUCCCAUGCCUCAUGAUUCAGGUUGUAUCUGUAACACUGGUUACACCACUGUAAAACGUUUGCACAAAUGAAUACAUCCCAUGCCACAUGAUUCAGGUAACACUUUGGUUAUACCACUGUAAUGAGUUUGGGGAAAGGCUGUGGCUUUCUUCAUUCUUAUUUUGUAUUUUUGUUUUUCUGCUCUCAAGUUGUGAAUAUUUUUUUAUUUUAUUGAAAGCCAGCGAGAAUGUGCACAAAUCAGCUUUCAAGACUACACCCAAUGAUAACUAAAUAGAUCUUAGGAUUUAGAAUCUAUUGAAGAGAUGUAGGUGGAAAAUGUUGUUUUCUUCUGUCAUGAAAUGUACAGUGCCUUCGGAAAGUAUUCAGACCCCUUGACUUUUUUCCACAUUUUGUAACGUAACAACCUUAUUCUAAAAUUAUUAUUUUUUUAAAUAGUUUCCUCAAUCUACACACAAUAGCUCAUAAUGACAAAGCAAAAACAGGUUUUUAGACAUUUUUUUUCUUCUAAUUUAUUAAAAAUAAAAUUGAAAUAUCACAUUUACAUAAGUAUUCAGACCCUUUAGUCAGUACUUUAUUGUACUUCACCUUUGGCAGAAAUUACAACAUCAAGUCUUGUUGGGUGUGAUGCUACAAGCUUGGCACACCUGUAUUUGGGGAGUUUCUCCCAUUCUUCUCUGCAGAUCCUCUCAAGCUCUGUCAGGUUAAAUGGGGAGCGUCGCUGCACAGCUAUUUUCAGGUCUCUCCAGAGAUGUUCGAUCGGGUUCAAGUCCCGCCACUACCAUGCUUCACCGUAGGGAUGGUGCCAGGUUUCCUCCAGACGUGAUGCUUGGCAUUCAGGCCAAAGAGUUCAAUCUUGGUUUCAUCAGACCAUAGAAUCUUGUUUCUCAUGGUCUGAGAGUCCUUUAGGUGCCUUUUGGUAAACUCUAAUGUAAAUGUGAAUAAGGUAUUUCUGUUUUGUAAAUCUUUUUACAUUUGCCCAAACUUCAAAAACACUGUUUUUGCUUUGUCAUUAUGGGGUAUUGUGUAUAGAUUGCUGAGGAUUUUUAUUUAUUUAAUCAAUUUUAGAAUAAGGCUGUAAUGUAACAAAAUGUGGAAAAAAGUAAAGGGGUCUGAAUACAUUCCAAAGGCACUGUGUACUUCCUAAAUUGCACCCUAUUCCCUUUCUAGUGCACUACUUUUGACCAGGGUAGUGCACUAUAAAAGGACUAUGGUGCCAUUUGGGAUGGACAAUAUAUUGUAAUAUUUUGUAUUUGUUGAAGGAAUGAUAUGAUUGGACUUUGUAAAAAUGCUUCCUUUUUUGUAUCUGCUUCUUUUGUAGAAUCAAAUGGAACAUGUUUAAUAUAUUUGUCAAAAGAUGAUAGAUUUUAUGUUCUGUGGUGUGUUUUAUUUUAGAUUUUAGUGUGGCGUCAUUGUGGGAAAUGUUCUU
rnacentral:lncRNA from 1 species